AGAUUGAACGCUAGCGGGAUGCUUUACACAUGCAAGUCGAACGGCAGCGCGGACUUCGGUCUGGCGGCGAGUGGCGAACGGGUGAGUAAUAUAUCGGAACGUGCCCAGUAGCGGGGGAUAACUACGCGAAAGCGUGGCUAAUACCGCAUACGCCCUACGGGGGAAAGGGGGGGAUUCUUCGGAACCUCUCACUAUUGGAGCGGCCGAUAUCAGAUUAGCUAGUUGGUGAGGUAAAGGCUCACCAAGGCGACGAUCUGUAGCUGGUUUGAGAGGACGACCAGCCACACUGGGACUGAGACACGGCCCAGACUCCUACGGGAGGCAGCAGUGGGGAAUAUGGACAAUGGGCGAAGCCUGAUCCAGCAACGCCGCGUGAGGAUGACGGCCUUCGGGUGUAAACCUCUUUCAGUACCGACGAAGCGCCCGUUGUGGUGGUGACGGUAGGUACGAGAAGAACGCACCGGCAACUACGUGCCAGCAGCCGCGU
rnacentral:rRNA from 1 species